rnacentral:rRNA from 1 species
UACGUAGGGUGUGAGCGUUGUCCGGAAUUAUUGGGCGUAAAGGGCUCGUAGGCGGUUUGUCGCGUCGGGAGUGAAAACACCGGGCUUAACUCGGUGCUUGCUUUCGAUACGGGCAGACUAGAGGCAUGCAGGGGAGAACGGAAUUCCUGGUGUAGCGGUGAAAUGCGCAGAUAUCAGGAGGAACACCGGUGGCGAAGGCGGUUCUCUGGGCAUGUCCUGACGCUGAGGAGCGAAAGCGUGGGGAGCGAACAGG